rnacentral:rRNA from 1 species
GAUGAACGCUGGCGGCGUGCCUAAUACAUGCAAGUCGAGCGAACAGACGAGGAGCUUGCUCCUCUGACGUUAGCGGCGGACGGGUGAGUAACACGUGGAUAACCUACCUAUAAGACUGGGAUAACUUCGGGAAACCGGAGCUAAUACCGGAUAAUAUAUUGAACCGCAUGGUUCAAUAGUGAAAGACGGUUUUGCUGUCACUUAUAGAUGGAUCCGCGCCGCAUUAGCUAGUUGGUAAGGUAACGGCUUACCAAGGCAACGAUGCGUAGCCGACCUGAGAGGGUGAUCGGCCACGCUGGAAGUGAGACACGGCCCAGACUCCGACGGGGGGCAGCAGUAGGGAAUCUUCCGCGAUGGGCGAAAGCCUGACGGAGCAACGCCGCGUGAGUGAUGAAGGUCUUCGGAUCGGAAAACUCAGUUAUUAGGGAAGAACAAAUGUGUAAGUAACUAUGCACGUCUUGACGGUACCUAAUCAGAAAGCCACGGCUAACUACGUG